AUACGUAGGGGGCGAGCGUUGUCCGGAAUGAUUGGGCGUAAAGGGCGCGUAGGCGGCCCGGUAAGUCUGGAGUGAAAGUCCUGUUUUUAAGAUGGGAAUUGCUUUGGAUACUGUCGGGCUUGAGUGUAGGAGAGGUAAGUGGAAUUCCCAGUGUAGCGGUGAAAUGCGUAGAGAUUGGGAGGAACACCAGUGGCGAAGGCGACUUACUGGACUGUAACUGACGCUGAGGCGCGAAAGUGUGGGGAGCAAACAGGAUUAGAUACCCUGGUAGUCCACACUGUAAACGAUGAAUGCUAGGUGUAGGGGGUAUCGACCCCUUCUGUGCCGCAGUCAACACAAUAAGCAUUCCGCCUGGGGAGUACGGCCGCAAGGUUGAAACUCAAAGGAAUUGACGGGG
rnacentral:rRNA from 1 species